rnacentral:rRNA from 1 species
AACGCGAAGAACCUUACCAAGUCUUGACAUCCCCCUGACGGGCAGGUAACGCUGCCGUUCCUACGGGACAGGGGAGACAGGUGGUGUAUGGUUGUCGUCAGCUCGUGUCGUGAGAUGUUGGGUUAAGUCCCGCAACGAGCGCAACCCUUAUCUUCAGUAGCCAGCAGUUCAAGCUGGGCACUCUGGAGAGACUGCCAGGGACAACCUGGAGGAAGGCGGGGAUGACGUCAAAUCAUCAUGCCCCUUAUGAUUUGGGCUACACACGUGCUACAAUGGCGUAAACAAAGGGAAGCGACCCUGUGAAGGCAAGCAAAGCCCAAAAAUAACGUCUCAGUUCGGAUUGUAGUCUGCAACUCGACUACAUGAAGCUGGAAUCGCUAGUAAUCGCGAAUCAGAAUGUCGCGGUGAAUACGUUCCCGGGUCUUGUACACACCG